GAUGAACGCUGGCGGCGUGCCUAAUACAUGCAAGUCGAGCGAACGGACGAGAAGCUUGCUUCUCUGAUGUUAGCGGCGGACGGGUGAGUAACACGUGGAUAACCUACCUAUAAGACUGGGAUAACUUCGGGAAACCGGAGCUAAUACCGGAUAAUAUCUUUAACCGCAUGGUUCAAAAGUGAAAGACGGUAUUGCUGUCACUUAUAGAUGGAUCCGCGCUGCAUUAGCUAGUUGGUAAGGUAACGGCUUACCAAGGCAACGAUGCAUAGCCGACCUGAGAGGGUGAUCGGCCCAACUGGAACUGAGACACGGUCCAGACUCCUACGGGAGGCAGCAGUAGGGAAUCCUCCGCAAUGGGCGAAAGCCUGACGGAGCAACGCCGCGUGAGUGAUGAAGGUCUUCGGAUCGUAAAACUCUGUUAUUAGGGAAGAACAUAUGUGUAAGUAACUGUGCACAUCUUGACGGUACCUAAUCAGAAAGCCACGGCUAACUACGUG
rnacentral:rRNA from 1 species